GAUUAACGCUUCGGAAUCUGCCCAAUGGUGGGGAAUAACCAGCCGAAAGGUUGGCUAAUACCGCAUGAGCCCUACGGGGGAAAGCGGGGGAUCGCAAGACCUCGCGCCGAUGGAUGAGCCGAAGCCGGAUUAGCUAGUUGGUAGGGUAACGGCCUACCAAGGCGACGAUCCGUAGCUGGUCUGAGAGGACGACCAGCCACACUGGGACUGAGACACGGCCCAGACUCCUACGGGAGGCAGCAGUGGGGAAUAUUGGACAAUGGGGGAAACCCUGAUCCAGCGACGCCGCGUGUGUGAAGAAGGCCUGCGGGUUGUAAAGCACUUUUAGUGGGGAUGAAAAGCUCAGGGCUAACACCUCUGGGUCUUGACCUAACCCACAGAAAAAGCACCGGCUAACUCUGUGCCAGCAGCCGCGGUAAUACAGAGGGUGCGAGCGUUAAUCGGAAUUACUGGGCGUAAAGCGUACGUAGACGGUUGGAUAAGUCGGGUGUGAAAAGCCCCGGGCUCAACCUGGGAAUUGCAUUCGAGACUGUUCAGCUAGGGUGCGGAAGAGGGAAGCGGAAUUUCCGGUGUGGCGGUGAAAUGC
rnacentral:rRNA from 1 species